rnacentral:rRNA from 1 species
GAUGAACGCUGGCGGCGUGCCUAAUACAUGCAAGUCGAGCGAACAGACGAGAAGCUUGCUUCUCUGAUGUUAGCGGCGGACGGGUGAGUAACACGUGGAUAACCUACCUAUAAGACUGGGAUAACUUCGGGAAACCGGAGCUAAUACCGGAUAAUAUUUUGAACCGCAUGGUUCAAAAGUGAAAGACGGUCUUGCUGUCACUUAUAGAUGGAUCCGCGCUGCAUUAGCUAGUUGGUAAGGUAACGGCUUACCAAGGCAACGAUGCCUAGCCGACCUGAGAGGGUGAUCGGCCACACUGGAACUGAGACACGGUCCAGACUCCUACGGGAGGCAGCAGUAGGGAAUCUUCCGCAAUGGGCGAAAGCCUGACGGAGCAACGCCGCGUGAGUGAUGAAGGUCUUCGGAUCGUAAAACUCUGUUAUUAGGGAAGAACAAAUGUGUAAGUAACUGUGCACAUCUUGACGGUACCUAAUCAGAAAGCCACGGCUAACUACGUG